rnacentral:rRNA from 1 species
GUAGGUGGCAAGCGUUGUCCGGAAUUACUGGGUGUAAAGGGAGCGUAGGCGGGGAGGCAAGUUGAAUGUCUAAACUAUCGGCUCAACUGAUAGUCGCGUUCAAAACUGCCACUCUUGAGUGCAGUAGAGGUAGGCGGAAUUCCUAGUGUAGCGGUGAAAUGCGUAGAUAUUAGGAGGAACACCAGUGGCGAAGGCGGCCUACUGGGCUGUAACUGACGCUGAGGCUCGAAAGCGUGGGUAGCAAACAGGAUUAGAUACCCUGGUAGUCCACGCCGUAAACGAUGAUUACUAGGUGUGGGGGGACUGACCCCUUCCGUGCCGGAGUUAACACAAUAAGUAAUCCACCUGGGGAGU